UGAGGGAUAUUGGGCAAUGGGGGAAACCCUGACCCAGCAACGCCGCGUGAGGGAUGACGGUUUUCGGAUUGUAAACCUCUGUCCUCUGUGAAGAUAGUGACGGUAGCAGAGGAGGAAGCUCCGGCUAACUACGUGCCAGCAGCCGCGGUAAUACGUAGGGAGCAAGCGUUGUCCGGAUUUACUGGGUGUAAAGGGUGCGUAGGCGGAUUGGCAAGUCAGAAGUGAAAUCCAUGGGCUUAACCCAUGAACUGCUUUUGAAACUGUUAGUCUUGAGUGAAGUAGAGGUAGGCGGAAUUCCCGGUGUAGCGGUGAAAUGCGUAGAUAUUAGGAGGAACACCAGUGGCGAAGGCGGCCUACUGGGCUUUAACUGACGCUGAGGCACGAAAGUGUGGGUAGCAAACAGGAUUAGAUACCCUGGUAGUCCACACUGUAAACGAUGAUUACUAGGUGUGGGGGGUCUAACCCCCUCCGUGCCGGAGUUAACACAAUAAGUAAUCCACCUGGGGAGUACGACCGCAAGGUUGAAACUCAAAGGAAUUGACGGGGGCCCGCACAAGCAGUGGAGUAUGUGGUUUAAUUCGACGCAACGCGAAGAACCUUACCAGGUCUUGACAUCCAACUAACGAAGCAGAGAUGCGUUAGGUGCCCUUCGGGGAAAGUUGAGACAGGUGGUGCAUGGUUGUCGUCAGCUCGUGUCGUGAGAUGUUGGGUUAAGUCCCGCAACGAGCGCAACCCUUGUGAUUAGUUGCUACGCAAGAGCACUCUAAUCAGACUGCCGUUGACAAAACGGAGGAAGGUGGGGACGACGUCAAAUCAUCAUGCCCUUUAUGACCUGGGCUACACACGUACUACAAUGGUCGUUAACAGAGGGAAGCAAUACCGCGAGGUGGAGCAAAACCCUAAAAACGGUCUCAGUUCAGAUUGUAGGCUGCAACUCGCCUACAUGAAGUUGGAAUUGCUAGUAAUCGCGGAUCAGCAUGCCGCGGUGAAUACGUUCCC
rnacentral:rRNA from 1 species